GGCCUACCGCACAUCGAAGCGAAAUCCCACCGCGACUACACCUUAUGCUUUGAUGUUUGGCCAUGACGCAGUCCUGCCUUUGGAAGUCAACGUCCAAUCAUUACGAGUCCAAGAGAAACAUCAUCUCAUUGGAGAAGACUACGUUCAGGCUAUGUGGCAGGAACAUGAAGACCUUAGCGAAAAGCGCUUGGAGGCUUUAGAUAAUUUGGUCAUGGAAAAGCAACGAGUCGCUCGAGCCUAUGACAAGCGAACAAGGGGAAGGAAUUACAGCGAAGGAGAGUUGGUUUGGAAAGCAGUUCUCCCGCUUGGCGAAAAAUUAGAUGGUCGCGGCAAAUGGACUCCAAGAUGGGAAGGCCCGUAC
rnacentral:lncRNA from 1 species